AGAGUGAACGCUGGCGGUAGGCCUAACACAUGCAAGUCGAACGGCAGCACAGUGGUAGCAAUACCAUGGGUGGCGAGUGGCGGACGGGUGAGGAAUACAUCGGAAUCUACCUUUUCGUGGGGGAUAACGUAGGGAAACUUACGCUAAUACCGCAUAAGACCUUCGGGUGAAAGGCCGGGGACCUUCGGGCCUGGCGCGGAUAGAUGAGCCGAUGUCGGAUUAGCUUGUUGGCGGGGUAAAAGCCCACAAGGCGACGAUCCGUAGCUGGUCUGAGAGGAUGAUCAGCCACACUGGAACUGAGACACGGUCCAGACUCCUACGGGAGGCAGCAGGUGGGGAAUAUUGGACAAGUGGGCGCAAGCCUGAUCCAGCCAUACCGCGUGGGUAGAAGAAGGCCUUCGGGUUAGUAAGUCCCGUUUUGUGGGUAAGUAAACG
rnacentral:rRNA from 1 species